AAGAUACUAGUAAAACGACCAUUACACUGCUUUGUCAAGGCAGAGUUGCAAGUUAAAAACUUGCGUAUCUUG
rnacentral:tRNA from 4 species